UGAUUUUUGUGUUUUGAUGAGAGUGACAUUGAAAAUCGCUAACAGUUGGAAGAGUUUUAAUCAAAAUCGCUUAGGAUUUCUGCGUAGAGAAUGACGAUGAAGUUAGAGCAAUCAUAGAUAAAUGAAAAGUUAGAGAUUAGUUCUUUGAAGUAUUUCAUGCAAAACAUUCGCAUGUCAAUUUUUAGGAAAAAUCGAUGUGUAUUCAUUAAUUAAAAAUAAAAGAAAAAGAAAAAGU
rnacentral:lncRNA from 1 species